CCCUUUCUGUAGAGGGAAAUAUUAGUUUGCCAAAUGUAUUCGUUUUGUUUUAACGGUGGUAAUUUGUCUAAUAUAAAGUGAUCGUGCUCUGCGUGUACUGACACAAUAAUUGUACGUUUAAAUUAGCAUAGUAAUUGCAAACAGUUUCUAUAACAUGUCAGUUUUUAACAGGCUGUCACAGAUACAUUCCGUCACAGAAUUGUUGUCUCUGUGUGUGUUAUUAUGUUAUGUAUGGUCUAACGUUGACAGACCAAUCAGAAGAGCUUUCCUUUAGCCUUUCCACAACCCCAUUCCCGUGAUUAGGUGUAAUGGGGGUGGGGGCACCACCGGCAUUCACCGGCCGACUCUUCGGGAAACUGGAACUUCUGAAUCAGCUCUGUAACUGAGCAAUUAAGUGCCGCAUCGCGUUCGUUUGUGAAUAUUUUUUGUGGAGCUGCCUUGCGCAAUAAACGAAUGCCUUAACUCGGUAUACGAUAAUGCACACAAGUGGCCGAGCUGGAGCUGCGCGGAGCUCGGUGGUGGAGAUUCGUGCUCUCAGAUUGGUAACAACGGAAAGCGGUCGUGCUGGGCGCGGUACGUGAUUAAUAUGGAUCAAUGACACGCACCUCAUAGAUAAUGGAAUAUACAAAACUGUAUUUGCGCAUUUGAAACUGUUUGUAAGUAAACGACCAGUUCACUGUUAAAAAAUACACCGAUAUGUACUGGAUUUAUCCUUUCUAAGACGCUGUGGAGAUAAUCAAAGAGAAAAGUGAUUCGUUUCUAUUACGAGAAACGAGCAUAUAAUUCCUGGCACUCGGAUCAACUACGCAUUUAUGGAAAUUGGGUCUCUCAGAUGGCAUGAAACUGCAAAGACGUGACUGGUAUUUACAGGUUACCUAACUUUACAAGCGACGCCAAAAAAAGAACAUCAACCGACUGCGCCCCAAAAUUACAGACAGAAUACUGAAAGAAGAGUCGUCCCCUUAGAAAGUCUCUGAAUAACGCGCACACUUAUAGUGCCACAUGCAAACAAUCGCCAAACGCUGCAGCGUUUUGAAUGCAUUUUCAUUCUGACUUAUCUCUUUUUCUUAAAAGUAAAGUAGAUGCAGUACUAACAAAAUGUCUCUGACCCAGAAGGACCUGAUGAGAUUCAACGCAACGCUUCAUCAUUUCAGUUAUCCAGCUGCGUGGGUUGAAAACUGAUGCUCCGGUUCUCUGAUGCUGAUGCUGGUUCAUCGCCCUUGUGCUGUUGCUGCAUUCUAGGAUGUUGCGACAAGUGUUGCACGAAGGGCUCAGGACGUCAUUCCACAAACUGGGCCACUUUGUCGCCAAUCACCCGGUGUUUUUUGCCUCCGCGCCCGUGCUGAUCUCCAUCCUCCUGGGCGCGAGCUUCAGCAGAUACCGCAUAGAGGAAAACGUGGAGUUCCUGUUAGCCCCCAAACACAGCCUGGCGAAGAUCGAGGGGAACUUGGUGGAUAGUUUGUUCCCCGUAAACCGAUCCAAGCACACGCUCUACUCGGAUUUGCAAACACCCGGCAGAUAUGGCCGGGUCAUCGUGACUUCGCGUAGGGGGAGCGUGUUGGACCCUCACCACGUUAACUCUGUCCUAAAGCUACACAACACAAUCACUCAGAUCCAGGUUCCUAUGUUGGGGUUCAACUACACCUUUGCCCACCUCUGCCUGUUGGAUGACA